rnacentral:misc_RNA from 1 species
UUCAAAGGCACGUGCCUCUCUUGGCAUCUUCUCUUUGAUAACCAAGCUACUGCUACUCAAACAUACAACAAUUUUCAAAAUUUACAGAAACCAGGGGGAAAAAAUAAAUUUACAUACACUAAAAAGGUGAAAAACUACUGUCAAGUUAGGUGCACGUCUCAUAUUCAUCUAAAAUAACAUGUCUACUGCUUUCCAGACCCAACAGAUUGCCAUCAGAAAAUAAUGCUUAGAUUGACAUGUGAAAGCAUUGUUGUUCAAAAUGAUAAAAUCUUUGAAGAAGCAAACUAGUAUCUGUAAAAGAUGCAGGUAAGGAUUUUAUUGUAGUCACUCAUGAGACAUUUAAAAUUUACAAUGUCAUUCCACAUCAAUUCACACCUAUAAAAAAGAAUGCUAUCUAAACUGUGUACCAGCUAAGUGGCUUCUCUUUCUA